rnacentral:rRNA from 1 species
GACGAACGCUGGCGGCGUGCUUAACACAUGCAAGUCGAACGGAAAGGCCCUGCUUUUGUGGGGUUCUCGAGUGGCGAACGGGUGAGUAACACGUGAGUAACCUGCCCUUGACUUUGGGAUAACUUCAGGAAACUGGGGCUAAUACCGGAUAGGAGCUCCUGCUGCAUGGUGGGGGUUGGAAAGUUUCGGCGGUUGGGGAUGGACUCGCGGCUUAUCAGCUUGUUGGUGGGGUAGUGGCUUACCAAGGCUUUGACGGGUAGCCGGCCUGAGAGGGUGACCGGCCACAUUGGGACUGAGAUACGGCCCAGAGUCCUACGGGAGGCAGCAGUGGGGAAUAUUGCACAAUGGGCGGAAGCCUGAUGCAGCAACGCAGCGUGCGGGAUGACGGCCUUCGGGUUGUAAACCGCUUUCGCCUGUGACGAAGCGUGAGUGACGGUAAUGGGUAAAGAAGCACCGGCUAACUACGUG